CGAUUCACAAACAUUCAUAUCUACCGUUUUCGUGGUAAUUAUCACAAAAAGCGGUACUUAUCGUCAAAUGCGAUUCACAAACAUUUUUUACCGACGGUGGCGGUGUGAUACUUAUCGUCUCUAGGCGUUAACUUAACAACAAAUUUUAUUCUCGUGCAAUGGCUUACACAGAAGCUGCAGCGGACCUCCUCGAUUUCCAUAAUAAGAGUCAGGGUACAUUUUAAUUGAUAAUGACGAAGAUGAUGGUAUAAUAUAACAACCCUCAUGAUGUGGCAGUGUCAGUUCAAAAUCGUUUGAUUAUGGGAGAGAUGUAGGAUGCAUCAUAUUUAUAAUAUUUUUUAAUUCAUAUAAUAAAUAUUCAUAUUUUUCCAA